rnacentral:rRNA from 1 species
CACGUAGGGGACGAGCGUUGUCCGGAAUCAUUGGGCGUAAAGCGCGCGUAGGCGGCUCGGUAAGUCGGCUGUGAAAUCCCGGGGCUCAACCCCGGGCCUGCAUCCGAUACUCCCGGGCUGGAGGCAGGUAGGGGAGAUCGGAAUUCCUGGUGUAGCGGUGAAAUGCGCAGAUAUCAGGAGGAACACCGGUGGCGAAGGCGGAUCUCUGGGCCGUGCCUGACGCUGAGGCGCGAAAGCUAGGGGAGCGAACAGG